UUGAAAUAUCUUCAUUUCUUUGAUAUCAUGUCUCCUUGAUGUGGCAGUGACUUCAAAGAUAUAUUUGAUGUAGAUAAUUUCAUUACCUCCUUGAGAGACGAGAUUCGAAUAAUAAAGAUACUGCCACCUAAGGUCAAGAAAAGAGUUGAACUAGGAUUAUUAUACUCAAUGCCACCCAUUAGAUGGUCUAAUAUCUCAUACUAUGAAAAUCAGGUCCUUCCUCUGUUGCUGAAACACAAGGUCAUACAACUAAAUAGAACAGAUGCUAGACUUGCAAAUAAUGGACUACCUGGUGGGAUUCAGAAGCUACGAUGCCGAGUAAACUUCAAUGCUCUGAGGUUUACUACUCAGAUAGGAGAACUUGGCAGAAGGAUGGUCAAGGUUUUGAGGGAAAAGAGACUUGUCCUUGCACUUCAUCUUAGAUAUGAGAUGGACAUGUUGGCCUUCUCUGGCUGUGCUCAUGAUUGUUACAGCAAAGAGAAGGAGGAACUCACAAGAAUGAGGUGGAUUUGACACAAUGCAUGCUGCGGCAAGGGCUUAUGAUCGAGCUGCGAUCAAGUUCUGUGGCGUUGAUGCGGAUAUCAAAAGGAAACCGACCUUUAUAAAAUGUUAAUGACGAUUCAACAGAUUUUAUGUGCAGAUGAGUAACUUCACGAAGGAGGAGUUUGUGCAUAAUUUGCACUGACAGAGCAAGGGGAAGCUUCAAAUAGAGGGGAUUCAAUAUGGGCUAGUCACAUGUACGUGUAAACAUAUAAAAAGAAUAAAGAGUUAGUCGCCUUUUUCUUUUUCAGUUAUUCAAUAUGACUAGAGUCGAUUAAUGAUUUA